rnacentral:rRNA from 1 species
UACGAAGGGGGCUAGCGUUGCUCGGAAUUACUGGGCGUAAAGAGCUCGUAGGUGGUUUGUCGCGUUGUUCGUGAAAACUCACAGCUCAACUGUGGGCGUGCGGGCGAUACGGGCAGACUUGAGUACUGCAGGGGAGACUGGAAUUCCUGGUGUAGCGGUGGAAUGCGCAGAUAUCAGGAGGAACACCGGUGGCGAAGGCGGAUCUCUGGGCCGUAACUGACGCUGAGGAGCGAAAGCAUGGGGAGCGAACAGG